UAGCUACAGGCUUAACACAUGCAAGUCGAGGGGCAGCAUGGUCUUAGCUUGCUAAGGCCGAUGGCGACCGGCGCACGGGUGAGUAACACGUAUCCAACCUGCCGUCUACUCUUGGACAGCCUUCUGAAAGGAAGAUUAAUACAAGAUGGCAUCAUGAGUCCGCAUGUUCACAUGAUUAAAGGUAUUCCGGUAGACGAUGGGGAUGCGUUCCAUUAGAUAGUAGGCGGGGUAACGGCCCACCUAGUCUUCGAUGGAUAGGGGUUCUGAGAGGAAGGUCCCCCACAUUGGAACUGAGACACGGUCCAAACUCCUACGGGAGGCAGCAGUGAGGAAUAUUGGUCAAUGGGCGAGAGCCUGAACCAGCCAAGUAGCGUGAAGGAUGACUGCCCUAUGGGUUGUAAACUUCUUUUAUAAAGGAAUAAAGUCGGGUAUGGAUACCCGUUUGCAUGUACUUUAUGAAUAAGGAUCGGCUAACUCCGUGCCAGCAGCCGCGGUAAUACGGAGGAUCCGAGCGUUAUCCGGAUUUAUUGGGUUUAAAGGGAGCGUAGAUGGAUGUUUAAGUCAGUUGUGAAAGUUUGCGGCUCAACCGUAAAAUUGCAGUUGAUACUGGAUAUCUUGAGUGCAGUUGAGGCAGGCGGAAUUCGUGGUGUAGCGGUGAAAUGCUUAGAUAUCACGAAGAACUCCGAUUGCGAAGGCAGCCUGCUAAGCUGCAACUGACAUUGAGGCUCGAAAGUGUGGGUAUCAAACAGGAUUAGAUACCCUGGUAGUCCACACGGUAAACGAUGAAUACUCGCUGUUUGCGAUAUACUGCAAGCGGCCAAGCGAAAGCGUUAAGUAUUCCACCUGGGGAGUACGCCGGCAACGGUGAAACUCAAAGGAAUUGACGGGGGCCCGCACAAGCGGAGGAACAUGUGGUUUAAUUCGAUGAUACGCGAGGAACCUUACCCGGGCUUAAAUUGCAGAUGAAUUACGGUGAAAGCCGUAAGCCGCAAGGCAUCUGUGAAGGUGCUGCAUGGUUGUCGUCAGCUCGUGCCGUGAGGUGUCGGCUUAAGUGCCAUAACGAGCGCAACCCUUGUUGUCAGUUACUAACAGGUUCCGCUGAGGACUCUGACAAGACUGCCACCGUAAGAUGUGAGGAAGGUGGGGAUGACGUCAAAUCAGCACGGCCCUUACGUCCGGGGCUACACACGUGUUACAAUGGGGGGUACAGAGGGCCGCUACCACGCGAGUGGAUGCCAAUCCCCAAAACCUCUCUCAGUUCGGACUGGAGUCUGCAACCCGACUCCACGAAGCUGGAUUCGCUAGUAAUCGCGCAUCAGCCACGGCGCGGUGAAUACGUUCCCGGGCCUUGUACACACCGCCCGUCAAGCCAUGGGAGCCGGGGGUACCUGAAGUGCGUAACCGCGAGGAGCGCCCUAGGGUAAAACUGGUGACUGGGGCUA
rnacentral:rRNA from 1 species